rnacentral:rRNA from 1 species
UACAGAGGUGGCGAGCGUUGUUCGGAUUUAUUGGGUGUAAAGGGCAGGUAGGCGGCCGGAUAAGUCUGUUGUGAAAUCCCAAGGCUCAACCUUGGAACUGCAGCAGAAACUAUUCGGCUUGAGGUUCGGAGAGGUGAGGGGAAUUCUCGGUGUAAGGGUGAAAUCUGUAGAUAUCGAGAGGAACACCCGUGGCGAAGGCGCCUCACUGGCCGGUAACUGACGCUGAGCUGCGAAAGCUAGGGGAG